CAAAACCCUAAACACACUAAGGUUUGGCUGUAACCCAGAGGUGACCGUUUCUCUCAUCGAUAAUUUCAAGUCUCGACUCUGACAAUCACAAAGAAGAUAGAUAGAAAAGAAAAUCUUGAGAAGCUGUGCCAUCUCUCCAAAGGUACCAGCUACCUCGAAUUGACCCCAUCUGUUUUUGCUUGAGGGUCCUUUGCCAUUGAAAUAUCUCCAAAACCUUGGCUUAAUUGCUUUCAAUUUUGUGAGCUCUGUUUCAAGUUGGAAGAAGAAAACGAGUCCGGCUGCAGCGUCGGAGUCAGAGGCAGAGGCAGAGGCGUUUGCGUCGGCUCUGGCGAGCAAGAAGGAUGCGACUUUGUUGGAGUUCACUCCCCCAAGUGCAGGCUCUGCAAUUCCUUGCUCAAAUUUGUCUUCAAAGUCGAAACCAGAAACUCUAAUUGGCUCAACAUUGUUAUGGCUGAUGCUGAGAACCCCAAUUGGCUACCCGAGUUGAAGUCCAUGGCAGAAAAUAUGCAAAAUUAGGAACCUAGUUCACACCAACUAACUCCACAGUUUCAGACCAUCAUAUUCCGCUGUCUUCACACCAACCAACUCCAGUAGAAAGUUCUACCGGUACAACUGAAGAUCCUAAUAAUGAACAUAUACAACAACCACCUAGCAUGGAGGUGGAUGACCAUGGUGUAUCAUCAACAAAAACUGGAGGAAGAAGGCUCAAAAGUAUUGUGUGGAAGCAUUUUGAUAAGAUUAAAACUGUUGAUGGGCAAGACAAGGCCCAAUGUAAAUACUGCAAAAAGUUUCUCGGGGGAGCAUCAAGGAAUGGAACAAACCAUUUGCAUGCCCAUAUGGAGAAAUGCAUUGAGAAAAGGUUACAUGACAAAGGGAAGGUACAAACAUUUCUUAUUCCUAAGGUUACACAAGGUAGACAAGAAUUGACUAUUGGAGGUUAUAAUGAAGAAAAUGCAAGAAUGAGCUUGCAUGUGCUAUUAUCAUGCAUGAAUAUCCACUUUCAAUAGUGAAUCAUAUUGGGUUUAUAAGAUUUUUAGCUACACUCCAACCACAAUUUCAAUGUCCUUCACGAAACACUAUAAAGAAAGAGAUAUUUAAUGUUUAUGACUUUGAAAAAUCAAUUGUUGUGAAGCUGUUUGAUACAAAUGAAGGAAGGGUGGCAAUUACAUUGGAUAUGUUGACUGCAAGCAACCAAAAGAAAAGGUAUAUGGCUGUCACAGCUCAUUACAUUGAUAGCUCAUGGACUUUGCAAAGUUGCAUUUUGAGGUACUAGCAACAUCCUUAA